UACGGAGGGUGCGAGCGUUAUCCGGAAUCACUGGGUUUAAAGGGUGCGUAGGCGGCUCGGUAAGUCAGUUGUGAAAGCCCCUUGCUUAACGAGGGAGGUGCGAUUGAUACUGUCGAGCUUGAAUCGGGAUGAGGCAGGCGGAAUGUGGCAUGUAACGGUGAAAUGCAUAGAUAUGCCAUAGAACACCGAUUGCGAAGGCAGUCUGCUGGGCCUGUAUUUACGCUGAGGCACGAAAGCGUGGGGAGCAAACAGG
rnacentral:rRNA from 1 species